rnacentral:rRNA from 1 species
CCUACGGGGGGCUGCAGUGGGGAAUAUUGGACAAUGGGGGCAACCCUGAUCCAGCCACGCCGCGUGUGUGAAGAAGGCCCUCGGGUUGUAAAGCACUUUCAGUGAGGAAGAACGCCUGGUGGUUAAUACCCAUCAGGAAAGACAUCACUCACAGAAGAAGCACCGGCUAACUCCGUGCCAGCAGCCGCGGUAAUACGGAGGGUGCGAGCGUUAAUCGGAAUUACUGGGCGUAAAGCGCGCGUAGGUGGCUUGAUAAGCCGGUUGUGAAAGCCCCGGGCUCAACCUGGGAACGGCAUCCGGAACUGUCAAGCUAGAGUGCAGGAGAGGAAGGUAGAAUUCCCGGUGUAGCGGUGAAAUGCGUAGAGAUCGGGAGGAAUACCAGUGGCGAAGGCGGCCUUCUGGACUGACACUGACACUGAGGUGCGAAAGCGUGGGUAGCAAACAGGAUUAGAUACCCUAGUAGUC